rnacentral:rRNA from 1 species
AAUAAUGCUUUCACAUGACGGUACCUGAGGAGGAAGCCCCGGCUAACUACGUGCCAGCAGCCGCGGUAAUACGUAGGGGGCAAGCGUUGUCCGGAAUCAUUGGUCGUAAAGGGCGCGUAGGCGGAUCUUUAAGUCUGGUGUGAAAACCUAGGGUUCAACCUUGGAACUGCACCGGAAACUGGAGAUCUUGAGGACAGGAGAGGAAAGGGGAAUUCCUCGUGUAGCGCUGAAAUGCGUAAAUAUGUGUAGGAACACCAGUGUCGAAGGCGACUUUCUGGACUGUAACUGACGCUGAGGCGCGAAAGCGUGGGGAGCAAACAGGA